GGGGGCAUGACCGUAAUCGGUAACGGACGGGCCUUUUAAGCCCGGCAUCUGGGUUCGAGUCCCAGUGCCCCCA
rnacentral:tRNA from 1 species